GGAAAUGUGCCUGAAAUGAAAGGGCCACUUUGAUAGAGUGGAUCAUGGAGAUUAAGAACCUCUCACUUCCU
rnacentral:tRNA from 1 species